UGGGGAAUUUUGGACAAUGGGGGCAACCCUGAUCCAGCAAUGCCGCGUGAGUGAAGAAGGCCUUCGGGUUGUAAAGCUCUUUUGUCAGGGAAGAAAAGGUCGUGGCUAAUAUCCACGGCUGCUGACGGUACCUGACGAAUAAGCACCGGCUAACUACGUGCCAGCAGCCGCGGUAAUACGUAGGGUGCAAGCGUUGCCCGGAUUCAUUGGGCGUAAAGGGCGCGCAGGCGGCCCGGCGCGUCCGCGGUGAAAGCUCCCGGCUCAACUGGGAGAGGUCCGCGGAAACGGUCGGGCUGGAGCAAGGUAGGGGGUCGUGGAAUUCCCGGUGUAGUGGCGGAAUGCGUAGAGAUCGGGAGGAACACCAGUGGCGAAGGCGGCGACCUGGACCUGUGCUGACGCUGAGGCGCGAAAGCGUGGGGAGCGAU
rnacentral:rRNA from 1 species